GUCGAUCACCUGGUCGAUCUCGUCGAUCGGACGCUUGUUGGGUCGCGCGCGCUCUUGCGCACCGACGCCUGUCGCAAGCAAAGCCGACGUCGAGUUGCUGCUGGCGUUGUUGCCGUUGUUUGCGUCUGUGGUCUCCAUCGGUGUCGCUGUUGUGGUGGUUGCUGUGCGCCUGUGGUUGUGUCGCUGGCGGCGUGUGCGUGUAUGCUGCGGACCGACACGAGCGCGGGCGGGAUGCAC
rnacentral:lncRNA from 1 species